UUCUAGCCCUGGAACUGAAUUCCAAAAUGCUGUGUAUCAACCUGCUGAAGUAGCAACUGAAAGAGGUAAGAAGAGAAGGGAGGAUACCAUCCAAGUAAAAUCAUCUCGCCAUACGUAUAAAAGAGAGAAUAGGGGAUUUUUAUAGUUUCUUAUUUUAAAGCAGUAUUACAGAAUGGACUACCAGGUCUCUUGUACUGACUGGGGUAAGUCUUUGGAAGCUGGACAGAAGGUCUGUGGACUGGAGGAGCUUUGCCAUGGAGACAGCAGCUUUCCCUGCUCUGUAGGACACUGUGAUGAGUUGAUGGGUGGCAGUCUUCUGACUGACCACGAAGGCACUACUAACUGCAGUCCUGCUGUGACAGACCAGAGGCACUGUGCAUUUGAAGGAAGGACAAGCACCCGUUAUCUGUGUGGUGAGACUGAACACUGCUUGCAACAACAGUACCUGAUCUUCAAGAUCUCAGCCACAGGUCAGUGUUUUGUGGACCCACUGAAGAAUCUGUGCCUUUCAAGAAACUCCAGAAAAUUAAUUCUGACCCCCAUCCUGCUAAGCUGGGCUGAGUGUCUUCAGUCAACCAGCUUGGAUUAUAAAUGACCAGUGGAAACGAUGAAGCUCCAUUCUUGCAAGUUAUUCUCAAACUUGUUUUUGAAGGAAGAAUGGAAAUCUGCUUUUUAUUUAAAAGCCCUUCUCGACAAGGCUGCCUGUCCAGCAGGUGGGGGAAUUACAUCCUAAACCUGAAGAGAGACUGAACCAGAAAGAUGUGGGCUGUCUUGGAGAGUGGGCACUCUGCCUCUUUUGUUUGGAAGCUGCGCCAGCCUGCAGGGUGGAAAAAAAUGCAUUGUUCAGUAAACCCAAGUGUGAUCGUCAGAAGGUAUGUACCAAUUUACUAGCUUAUUGGUUGUCAUCUGCCUGAAAUGGAGAAUAUCCCAAACUAUGCCAGCGUUUUA
rnacentral:lncRNA from 1 species